UUGACCGUCGGACUGUGUGGACGCAUUCACAAGGAUAAGUACAACGAUACACCGUACCCCAGUGCUGAGUCGAAAAAAUUUCUAGCUCGAAAAGAUCCUUGACCCGAUCAGGAAUCGAGAACCCGACAUCACAACCGUGUGGGAGAGCGAGCCGACCGACAUCGCUAACCACAGAACCACGGGGAGUCUUGUGUAAUCUCUGAUAAAAAGCAUUACUGUAUCGAUCGCAAAUGUAUCGAUCCGUUUCAUAGUAUCAGAAUCGAGAACUUUAGUCGGAUGUAUUUUUUUAGUAAAUGUCGAGUGAUGUUAAAUUCAUAUAUCCAUUGAUUUUUCAUGUUUAUUAUUUUUUCUUGGUGCUCCACUGCAUUGAUCUUUUUACCAGUUUCCAAAUAUCGAUAAAGAAGUAACGCACUUUUACGAUAUCAAUGCUAAAUUACUCAAUACUUUUGUAUCGAGUAUCGACAUAAGUCUCACCAUUGCUCAACGAACGAUAACCUGAGUGUAAAAAUGUUAGAUAUAAUUGAAAAUGAAACGUGCCGUGUUUCUGUGGAACUCUUGCUACAAACCGGAAACUCCUACGAACUCGAAAGUAAAUUUGGUUGUCACUGACCUAGUGACACAGAUGAUGAAGAGAAAAGCAACAAAUAGGAACGAACUAGAUGUCUAUCUAGGAGAGGAAGCAAUCGUUUUACCACGUGAUAAGUCUGUGGAAAACAAUUUUGCAAGAUUUCCGAGCCUGUCGUUAAUGGCAAGAGACGUUCUGUGUGUUUCUGCGUCGGGUGUUCCACUCGAAAACAAAUUUUCUUCGGUACGGGACGUCGUCGCAGCACGCAGAAACAGACUCCGGCAGCCACUAAAAUAUUGGCUCAAAUAAAUGUUAUAGCUAGGAAAAUUGUAGAACCAGCCUUUUUUGUUAUUACACUCCAAACUUUUCAAUUGGAAAAAAAAAAUAUUUAAAAAAAUAGAAAAACAAAUUGCAAAAUUUAGUUUGUAUUGUUCUGAUUUAGUCAAACACUUUCCAACAUGCAUAAAAGUCUUUAUGAUAAUUUUUCACUGAAAUAACGCUCUCGAAAAAACUAGCAACUUUUGUUCCCGGACUUCGGACCAGAACCGGAACGAAGCCAAUAGGACCGGACCGGAACGCGGACCCAACGUUUUCGUUCCAAUGUCGAACACUACUCUCAAUAAUAAAUUUUGAUGAAAAAGAAGCCCAAGAUAGAUUUUCCUCACGCUGCAAUGAUCAAAUAGUAUAUUAAACUAAAA